ensembl:lncRNA
GAGAGGUGUCACCGGCUCCAGUCUCACCUCCACCUGCCUGAGAAGGGAAACGUCUCCUCACAGCAACACAGAAAAUCACAGACAUGGACAAACUGGCCGGGAUUGUCGGGAAAAAAGUGGGUGAGUCACAGUUUAACAGUUCAUACACUGUUAUUUAAAGUGUGAAGUGUCUGUGGCCUGAAGAGCGUGGCAGCACUUUGAGCUCACAUUCAGUGAUGGGCGGUUUGUGUUGGCUCAUGUUUUGGAACUAGUUCGAUGCACAGAAACAUACGAAGUAACAUCAGUACAGAAAAGGAGAGCACUUCUGUGAAUGAUGAAUUAGCCGGUGGAACAGGUCGGGCUGCUCUGCAGACACACCUGAUUCCUCAGCUGAGCCACCUGAUGGGCGUCGUCGGCCGCGCUCUCACCUGAGAGCUGAACUUAAAGCACACCUGAGUGCGCCUCAGAGACAGAAACACCGCAGAGAUGGACAACCUCGCACAGAUAGCCGGCCAAAAAGCGGGUAGCUUGGUGGAGGGGGCAGUGAAGGGAGCUCUGAAUUCAGCCAACAAGAACAAAGGUGAGAAGAAAGGAGGAGGAGGCGGCAUCUUCUCGAUGUUUGGAGGCAACAAGAACAAAAAUAAGGACAAAGACGAUAAAGGAGCGCCCCUCCCAAAUGUGCCCAACAAAGAUGAUAGUGGGGGCAAGAAACCAGUACCCGAAGGGAAUUUAGCGGGAACUACAGGAGGGAGCGUGGGACCGACGAUGGGAGGAGGUGCAGGAGGGAGCGUGGGACCGACGAUGGGAGGAGGUGCAGGAGGAAGUGGAGGAUCAGCUGGACCUGUAGGACAGGAAGGAGUCACAACAGACAGAGAUCUGAUGGAUGAUCUGUUCGAGCUGGGAGACGAAAUGAAAGGGAACUGAAGCAAAAGGAAGAAAACCCGACUCCCACAACCACUCAGAGAAGAUCCGGAAGGACGAGAGCGCCCACAUUUUUCUCUGGUCUACAGUUUUGCACAGAACUAAAGAUUUUAAUGCAUUAUCAGCCUAUUAUUCACCGUGUUUUAUUCACCGUGUUUUCUGCUUUUAGAUAACCAGUCAGUGUGUUUAACUUUAUCAUAAUAAUAGCACCAGCAAAGACGUUAUGAAUGAAUAAAUUUAAAUGUUUUACUGGAGGGGACUUUUCCUUCUUUUGGUCAGUUUGUCAGUAUUUUGUCUCGUAGAAGCUUCUCGUAAACUCCAUGGUGGAUGUUUUAAAACAUAUAUUAGUUUUAAUUUUAAGAAAAAUAAAAAUCUUACACAUAGUUCAAUAUAUGAUCAUUGAAAAUCAAUAAAAGCAAUCUGAAAUAAAUACUGUCAUAACAAACAGAAUUAAAUAAAGAAAUAAAUUUAUGAAAA